UACGUAGGGUCCGAGCGUUGUCCGGAAUUAUUGGGCGUAAAGAGCUCGUAGGCGGUUUGUCGCGUCUGCUGUGAAAUCCCGAGGCUCAACCUCGGGUCUGCAGUGGGUACGGGCAGACUAGAGUGCGGUAGGGGAGAUUGGAAUUCCUGGUGUAGCGGUGGAAUGCGCAGAUAUCAGGAGGAACACCAAUGGCGAAGGCAGAUCUCUGGGCCGUAACUGACGCUGAGGAGCGAAAGCUAGGGGAGCGAACAGG
rnacentral:rRNA from 1 species